GAAGGUCACACCAUGAGUCAACAGUAAUUAGAAUAAUGUGCUUAAUAAUAACAAGACGGGCCAGGUAUUGGUCGGGUGGUGAUUGCCGUAAGGAUCACGGGCCAAGUGUUGGUCGGGUUGUGAUCGCCGUAAGGAUCACGGUUUGGGACCCAGUGUUGGUCGUGGUUGUGAUCGCCGUAAGGAUCACGAUGGUAUCGAGGAUAUCGAGUUGUUGUAUAUUCAUGGUGUUGUACGAGAAUCGUGGGUAAAGAUCAAGCUCCUUGUGGUCGCUUAUUGAUUACUACGAUAUUGUUUAUACUAAGCUUGAUUUGAUCCUGAGAUGAUCGUGUGAUGUCCGAGGUUGGUAAGUGAUGCAUAUGUUCGUUACGAGGUAAUCAAACAUAAUAAGUGGUGCAUAUGGUGUCAUCAUGUUGCAUGCUAGUAUUGUCGGAUUAAUAUGCUCAUGCUGAGUUAGCUGUAUCAUGUUUAUGAUGGUCAUGCCAUGUUAUUCUGAUGAUAUCAUGUUAAUUCCUGUUUAACCUGUAAUUGCCAUGCUGUUGUUUGUCUUGAAUGCUUCUGGUUUAUUGUGAGCUUGCAAGUACAUUCAAUGUACUGACCUGGAGUGUCAUGCCAGUUUGCAGGUCAUGCCGGAUUUGAUUUCUUGCUUGUCGUGGUUUCCGUUCGUGCGAGCUAGGAUAAGCGUUCCAGCCAAAGUCCCUGCGGAGUGGAGUUUACCACCGUCGCCGUUGUUCCGCUGCUAGAGUUAUUCUGCUACUUCGAGUUGUUCUGCUGCUUGCAUAGAGCAACUGAGGAUGGCAUAGUGUCGCCGUACCGAUGUUAUUCAUUGUAAUAUCGGAGACCUUGUAUUCAUAUUUGUGUAAUAAUGGAAAGCUGGUUUGUUUUAUGCUAAGCAGUGCCAUAUUCCAGAAGACUUCUCCUCGAUCUCUGGGCUGGAAUACGGGGUGUUCUGGUUUUCUUUGAGCCGGGGUGCCACGGGCUUGGUAUCAGAGCAGGUCUGGCUAUAGGACGCCCUAGACCGCGCGAACGUUAGAACGCGGUAGUAUAGACCCCAGUUGGUUUGUUGCAUUUGAUUGUUGCAUUUGUUUGUCGCAUAGCAUCCAUAUAGCCUUAGUAUUCGUGAUAACGGUUUAUCUGGUGAGUGUAGCUGGCAUCGGUUUGGAUCCACUACAACUCAACCUUUGCAUUUCUCCAGUUCCUUUUUCUUUCGGUGUUUGGUGUCAAUUCUAUCCCAGCAGAGUUAUGCCAAGUGAUCCCGACACUGUUUGCAAAAAUGGUGCUCAGGCAUCGCGCCGAUGUAUUUCUUUCAGUCCCGUCUAUCAUUUCGGUGAUGGACAUGCGUCUAUCCAGGAUCAUUCUUUUAUUUUGUCAUGUUGGCAACCCUUAAUGAUCUUAGUUAUCAAGAAAGGGCAAUGUCAGCAGCCUCAGUUUUUCGCCGCUAUCCUAUUUCUUGGACGAGUAUGGAUCUUUUUCCGCCCGCUUGAUAAUAAUGUGGUUGCGACCUUCGUGUCCCACUGCAUGGUUACCAAGUACGUCCUCGUCUCCGAGCUAGUCUAGGUUGCUACCUGGCUAAGAUAGCACUUGGUGUAGCGCUGUUUACACCAAUUCUUCCACACAUUUAUUCGUCCUCGUGCACAUCAUCACAGCAUGCUAGAUCGUAAUACCGGAGUUUCCGCGAGAUUUGUGUGCUUAGGUUUGCAUGCAUAUUAUUGUGUGAGUAGCAGUAAUAUGUGAUGAUUGCUUGAUUAAUUAUGUUAGUAGAAUGCUUGUUUGCUCUGGUUUUAGUCGUUUCUAUUGUUCCUUUUUUUGGGCCUUUGGUGUUACAAAUUUUUCCCCCAUUAAAGUUGCUCGUCAGCCGACACUGGACCCGAAGAAUCAGGAAGGAAUGCAUAUAUUUGGAAACUCAGCUAAACAGAAUGGAAUUAUCAGCUGACUGCAGUGAAAUUGGGAAUAUCUUAUCUGAAUGCAAAAGAAAUCCUGGAUGGACCGUUAGUAAGUUUGCAUUAGCGUGCACUCAUCACUACGAAAUGAUUAAAUCAGCAAGAAGAUAAAUUGUGUGCAAGGUUGACAGAAUAUUAUCAAAGUUAUGGCUCAGAUACAAGUUUAAUUUUUCGUUGAGGAUGAUUUUGGAAUUCGAUGUACCUGGAAGCAAGCAAAAAUACGACAUAUACUCAGAAAGGAGGAUAGUCCUGCAAAACCCCGUUUCAUGCAGGAAAUCAAUAGAAGAAAUAUUAAGAUGGUAUGUAUAUGUGGAAAUCGGUCCGCAUAUCCCAAUAAGAAGUUUCUGGUGUAGGCAACCCACUUUUCCCUCGCAAGAUACCAGAGAAGCUUCCAAGGCAAGAUUCAUCUAUAUUCCUCAGUAUGAUACGUGGAUGAUUUCCCAUGCAAGGUACUCUGCCUUCUUCAGUAAGCACCCGCAAAAGUUUCCAGCAUAAGGUACCGAGUCUUUCCCCAGCAAAGUAUUUAAGGGGGUAAGCUUCUGAAGCACGAUACCCAGUCUUCUUCAGGAAGCCGUCCGAUGAAAGUUUUGAGCACAAGCCAGCAAAUCUUCCUCAGUAAGACAUUGGUCAAGGUAGUACGCUGUGAAUUGACAACAUAUGGCAGUGAAUCCCAAGAAUCAAAUCCGCAACAUUUUGGUCAGAAUCAAGAAUCAGUCGGAAUGAAUGUCUAUCUCGGAAUCAGGUCCUCAUAUAUAUGCCAUGAGCAUACCAUCAAGAUCUUACAGGUCACUCGGAUGAGGAUCUAAUAACCAUGUGAGGAUGAUUCAGAGAAGAAAGCCAGUAUACACCGUACUGUGACAAAGGAUUAUGAGGACUGAUGACAUCAAUGAGCUCAGUACAAGUACCCGUGAACCUGGAAAAUGAACCUGAUGAUCCCUUGUCCCCUUUUUCUCCAAUGACGGCACCACGCGUGUGAUCUGAGCUGUUUCUAGCUAUCCAGGGUGGAUGCCUAUUUUUGUUUCUCUCUUCAACAACUGUCACGAGUCUGAGCUACUUUUCGGCCGUCUCAUACAGCUGUUCAGAUUCUUUUGUGACAGUAGCCCUAUAGCUGCUUUUUGGCUAUUUUAGGGAGCUGCCACCUUCUUCUUAUCGACCCGGUCUCAUGCUCUGAGCUAUUUUUCGGCCGUCUUGAGCCGUGGUUGAGUUAUUUCAGUAAUGUCCUAGAUCUGAGUUGUAAAGACUAUUCUGGUGGCUACUGAUUUAUUUGUCGAUUUCUUGCAAGGGUUUUGGAUGAUCAUUUCCCAACAAUCAGAACUUGAGAGGUGUAGAACCUGCCAUUUGAUGGGUUACCCUACCAGAAAAAUGAGGAUAAGCUACAAUUGCCAAAAAAAUUGCACCGACAGUACCUAUGGUCAUACGAAGAAGCAAUAUGGCCCCAGCUCUUUCAGCCAAUGAUCCAGACCAAGAAAACAAUAAUGAAGGAGCAAGACCAAUGAGGCAGGUAUGAAAAUUAUACACGACCGCCAUGGUGCAGAUCCCCCGGAUAGUCUAAGUCGGUAUGGAUCCACAUGGAUAUGCCUACAACAUGAGUAAUCAGCAUGAGGAAUAACAGUCUGGAAGCAUGAGUCCUCACUUAUAUGAAUCAUCAUGGAUAGCCUGUCGUGACCAAAUUUUUUCCGUCAGAACCACCGUUAGUCAAGCCGGCAAAUAUUAUCAUACAGGCCGAACCCUUUAUGCUAGCCGCGACGGGAGACAACCAAAUAUUUGAUAUGCAUCCGGUACCCAUGCUAGUGGAACCGGUUAAGAUGGUUCAAAAACUUCUGCGAUGAGUCAGAAUCUGUCAGGAAACGGUUAUGUUUUAACUCACUGUUGGAAACCCAAAGGACCUUCAUUUGGUGGAGAAACCCAAUGAAAUGAGUCUGAGCUUGAGUUUUAAUCAAAACAUUCUGAUCAUCAUUACAUGAAAGGUUGUCAGUGCCGGAUGGCACACCCAGCGGAAAUCCCUUUUGGAUUUGUGAGAUGGACAUAUAUUUCAGUCGUGAUAAUCAAAUUACACUCAGCUAGUCAGCAGAUCUAAAAAGAAAUUGGAGCCUAUAUAAGCAUGAGCAAGCCAGUUAAGAUCUGUCAGAACGUGGAUACAAUGAAUCAAACCAACCCAGGGCCAGUCAGAUAAGAAUUUAGUGGGAACAACAAUAAAGGAAAAAGGAUACCCGAGUUGGAAAUGGUUUCCUUAAGUCAGAAUAUUAAUACUAGUUCCCUGAGCAACCAAAUCUUGAGGACGAGAUUUCUUUAAGGGGUUAAGGUUUGUGACAACCUGAUUUUUGGUCCUUUCUUUUUCUUUUGUUUUUCCGAGGUUUUUGCCUGAGUUUUCUUUUUUCCGUGGCUUUGUGGUCUGGAAACCGAAGAAGAUGACCUCUUCUUUGCUUCUAGAGUGGCUUGUCAUUCCCAAAUCUUUCCCUAGACCCUGUCAUUUCCUUCCUAGCCCAAAUCCCAAUAUUCUUUUUAUUGGGAAUAUUCCUUUUCUAUUGAAGGAAUAACUCAAAUUGCCCUAGGUUGUGAAGCAACCUAUAUUUCAAUCACUCCUAAAAUUCCCAAUUAAUUCUCAUAAAUUGUUUGGGUCAUAUCUUGAUCAAAGAUGGCAAAACGUUUCAUUGCCAUGUUCAAAAAUAAUUCCCCAGUAAUUCAUUUCCUAUUCUGCCCUGAAUGGCACUUUGUGAAGGAAGUGUCAUUUAUAUUUCUCCUAUUGACUCCCAACCUUUUUGGGCAUGAUUAUAUGUCCAAAUAGUUACCUCAUGCACAAGUUCAAAUUUAUUUGCCUAGCCAAUCUUCCUCAGUGAAUUUUCAAAGUUUCUGUCAGACAGAAGGCUUUGUGCAGGAAGUACUAGCUAGGAGUACCCAAAUGAGUUGAACUUUUGCACUCCUUAAUGUGCUCAUAUUAACCCCUUACACCCAUUUGCAGCCCCAUCCCAUCAUCUAUGUGAGCACAGGAGCAAAUCUUUGUUUCUGGAAAUAUUUUUAGGUUGUGAAGCAAGUAUAUUUUAUAUUGCUCCAAAAAUCCUGAUAAAUUACCAGAUCAUUCGUAUACGCAUAAAACAUUUCUCCACCCAAUUUGGCAUCAUUUCAUUGAUCCAUUUGACCACCAUAUUUAUUUCAAGUUUCUGGUCAGCAGAGAUGUUUGUGAAGCAAUUGCUAUUUUGGUCUGUCCAUUUGGCAUGAGCUUUUUACAGCAUCAUCAUAUGACCAAAUGACUAAGCCUUGACCAAUAUUAGCUCAAGUGGACACUCCAUGUGAGUCCGCCAUCCUAAUCUUGAUUCUGGACCAUAUUUGGCAGUUGCAAAGCAACUCUGUUAAAUCUUGAUCCAAACCCAUCCAUAGUUACCAGGAUGUAAGUCCUUCAUUACCUCUACCUCCGAGACAACUCCAUUUGACCCAAUCACAUCCCUGUUGAGCAGCAGUACACGAUCAAGUUUACUGCAGUAAACUUCAGGUGUUAACUGCUAUUUAACCGUGUCACUUUUAGCCAAACUACCACCGCGGUUGCAACCUCCCCAGGAAGGACUAAACUCCAGACAUAGGUUGGCAUCACUUGUGGCACUGUGUGCACCAGUGCACGCGGUGACCACCGCUUUGGCGUGCAAUGGUCGCGCUUAGAGCUUCUUCUUGCUUGGGCUCCUCCCCUUCUCGCUGUCUUUGCACCCGUGAGCAUGUCUAGUAGAUUGCCCUCGUCGUUGCCGUCCUCCUGGAUCCCUCUCCCCCUCCGUCCACUUCCUCUUCGGCGCUCAUCGCCGCGCGCCCACGGGUGAGCAGUACCCCGACAUGCAUUAAUGGUGCUUGGCUGCUUCCCUCCCCUUGACCUCUUCUACCCGUGAGCUCUGUGGCUCGUCCGCAUCUCCCUCGUCUUGAACCCGUGCCACCCCGUGCUCGAUGGCCUCGCCAGAGCGUUGGCCGGAUCCCCACGGUGCCACCCGAGCUCGGCCUCCCUCGCCCCCGCCUAUAUAAAGACCCCAGAGUCCUCCCGAGCUCACUAGCCUCUUCCACGCCCUCCACUAGACCUCCCUGACCAGUCAAACAAGCUCGAGGAGCUCUCCCUGGCCAUCAUUGCCGCCAUAGCCGCCGCGGCUUUCCUCCUAAAUUGGAGCGAGCCGAGCCCUCCCCCUCCAUUCUAGCACCACCAGUGCCCUACACCACACCCCUAGAGCCUACCCGACGCCCAGCCCCUCCUCUCCGUGGCUCCUCCAUCCUCCCCAAGGUCGCCCGAGCCCCGCCAUUGCCGCCGUCCGCCCCGACCUAGAUCACGUGCUCCCCUGACUUCCCCGCCCUCCGUACCCCGCCUGGCUGGACGCGCCGUUCCUCCUCGAGCACCUCGAUGGCCGGAGCGCCUCGAACGGUGGCCUCUGCCGCCUGGGCACCUCGCUGGAGCAGGCGACCUCCUCUGUCCUGGAGCCGGCGUCGGGAGGAAGAAGGGAAGGAGCAAGGAGGAGAGAGAGAGAUCCGGUGGGCCCCGCUGGCAGUGACACGAGCGUUGACCCUGUUGCCAGCGUGGAUAAGUGGCGGGUCCCACCUCCCUGCGGGCCCCGCCAGUCAGCCUCACAACCGCCGGCCCCGCGUUGACCCAGGUACAGUGACGUGGAUAAGUGGAGGCGUAAUCCACUGAUUACGUCUUCGCUUUCCGAAAGCGUAUUUCCCAUUUUACGCUUCUGUCUUAUCCACUCACGGACUUAUUUGUGAUGAAAUUUUUGCAGAAAAGUCCCUGAACUUCAACCCCUCAUAUCUUUUUAUCCGUAACUCCGAAUGAGGUCAAACCAACGGCCACUUCUUCGUUUCAUCGAGCCCUUUCUGUUGGUGUCACUUUCAUUAUGUUUUGGCAUACUGAAAAUGACCAUUUUGCCCCUGCCCUUAAUCAGCCCCCUCCAAGAGAGACAUGUUUUCCGGCGAUUCGUUCCGCGGCUUCACCGCACUUCUUCUCGGUGCCUUCUUCAUCCCCAGGAAAGCCACAAUACCCACUUACAUGAUAGUCAUGCAGUAGCCAUGGUUUUCAACUUGAAUCUUUAUUAAUGUUUGCUUGUUGAAAAAAAUGGUUAUCGUUGUUCCGGUGAUGCUCAAAUUUGCAUGUUCGCUUUUGUGCUAUGUCGUCUUAUACUCUGUGAUCAUGUUAUACCUCCUAGUAUUACCUUUCAUAUGUUUAUGCUUGGUAGUAGUACAUGUUGAUGUUGGAGAUGGUCAUGCUAGUCAGUAUGCGAUGCUUAGUGGACAUGAGUUAUUGUUGGUACGGUGGAAAGUUAUGUCAUACUCUCAUGAUGAUGUUGAUAUCAUGUUCAUGUAUUAUAGUUGGCAUCAUGUUAUUUCAUCAUGGCUCAGCAUAUUUGCAUUCAAGUUGACCGGAUUAAAUUGAACUUGAACAUCUGUUGACUGAGUCAUGGUGCCACUGAAUCGAUGCUGACCAGUGCAACCACGCUUAUCGGUAUGGGACAGUCCUAACGGGGUCUAUUGUUGUGCCUCUCGCCGGUGCCUCCAAUGAGGGAAGGUUAUGGGCGCGUGCUACCCUGAUCAGGUAGGUGGAGCAUAACCUUAUAUUCCCGUAGUUGUUAUAGCCGGCGGAUCCCCGUGUGGGAUCGUUUAUGUUUUGGGCCACGACAGUGGUCGUUGUGUCUGGAGGAAGGCACGGGGCCACCCAUGACUUAGCUCAGUGAGGAGUGAGUCGAAGUGGCCGGGAGACUGUCAUGGCAGUAGAUCGGUUUCGUUGGAACGCCGUUGGUCCACCCGAAUGGAAGUGCGAGGCCAUGGGUUCUGUAGUGUGGGUACAGUGUACUAACCUCUGUAGAGUGUAUAUUAAAUCUAUCGAUAGCCGCGCCCGCGGAUAAGGGCCCAGGUCGUGAGAAGGUCACACCAUGAGUCAACAGUAAUUAGAAUAAUGUGCUUAAUAAUAACAAGACGGGCCAGGUAUUGCUCGGGUGGUGAUUGCCGUAAGGAUCACGGGCCAAGUGUUUGUCGGGUUGUGAUCGCCGUAAGGAUCACGGUUUGGGACCCAGCGUUGGUCGUGGUUGUGAUCACCGUAAGGAUCACGAUGGUAUCGAGGAUAUCGCGUUGUUGUAUAUUCAUGGUGUUGUACAAGAAUCGUGGGUAAAUAUCAAGCUCCUUGUGGUCGCUUAUUGAUUACUAUGGUAUUGUUUAUACCAAGCUUGAUUUGAUCCUGAGAUGAUCGUGUGAUGUCCGAGGUUGGUAAGUGAUGCAUAUGUUCGUUACGAGGUAAUCGAACAGAAUAAGUGGUGCAUAUGGUGUCAUCAUGUUGCAUGCUAGUAUUGUCGGAUUAAUAUGUUCAUGCUGAGUUAGCUGUAUCAUGUUUAUGAUGGUCAUGCCAUGUUAUUCUGAUGAUAUCAUGUUAAUUCCUGUUUAACCUGUAAUUGCCAUGCUGUUGUCUGUCUUGAAUGCUUCUGGUUUAUUGUGAGCUUGCAAGUACAUUCAAUGUACUGACCUGGCGUGUCAUGCCAGUUUGCAGGUCAUGCCGGAUUUGAUUGCUUGCUUGUCGUGGUUUCCGUUCGAGCGAGCUAGGAUAAGCGUUCCAGCCAGAGUCCCUGCGGAGUGGAGUUCACCACCAUCGUCGUUGUUCCGCUGCUAGAGUUAUUCCGCUGCUUCGAGUUGUUCUACUUCUUGCAUAGAGCAACUGAGGAUGACGUAGUGUCGCCGUACCGAUGUUAUUCAUUGUGAUAUCGUAAACCUUGUAUUCAUAUUCGUGUAAUAAUGGAAAGCUGGUUUGUUCUAUGCUAAGCAGUGCCGUAUUCCAGAAGACUUCUCCUCGAUCUCUGGGCUGGAAUAUGGGGCGUUUCGGUUUUCUCUGAGCCGGGGUGCCACAGGUCCACUGGCCUGACUGCCUCAUCAUAAGUGAUUGAUGAGGGAUACACCAGAACAUUAGUUUGAUGUAAGAACAUGGUUAAUAGAGAGAUGUACUAGUAUGUACCAAAAACAGGAAGGCAUGUCAUAUUCAAAGGUAUAAUGUGUAAGCUAAGCAGAUGCAUUUUAACCAAAUUGGAAGCGGUACAAGCUAGACAUCCGGCUGGAGUGGUGAGCAUGAUCAUCUAGGACCUGAGAGCCUGGUGGGAGGCGGGUUGCUUUGCCACCAUCGUGGCUUUUUACUUGGCUUCCAGGUGAUGCCUGUCUGUGCUGGGCUUAUCACUGGCUCGACCAGUGCCCUGACUAGCUAUUUGUCUUCUGGUGCUCACAGGAUGGUGGUUCAUGUAAAAAAUAUCUUUC
rnacentral:lncRNA from 1 species